UGUCUGAAGAAAUCUCACCAUGACACACCUGAACAUUUUCAGCCCUGGGUAACAAAUCUGAAGUAGAAGUUGUCACAUAUUUCUCUCCCUGUGGGAAUCACAGGUCAUGUGGCUUUUACUGGUUAGGGCUCAGUUAUUUUUAUUUUAGGGAUCAGAGGAUGAAGACACCUUAGAUAUUCAACCAUGUAUUUUAUCCAGAAUGUUUUUCCAUUGGUUUCCCUUUCCUACAGAUCAUUCCAGGAGAUUUAUACCUCAAUGUGAAACAGGUUAUUCCUCUCAGAGAUGUUUUCAGUUUACAGUGACUUCAGAAGAUAACAAAGCUGUUUGGUUUUUUUAGGAUAUCAAGCUUAAUUAUCAUCCUUGUUGCUUUCAGGUCACAUCCUCAGGGGUCACCUCUUCCAGGAGGUUGCUCCAACACCUGUGACAGCAGCAAACUGGGAUCUGCCCUGCACUGGUGCUCACUGAUUCAUUCCCUGGAGUUGUGCCUACAGACUGCAAGACCCUGGAUCUGAGGGCCUCGUAUGAAAACGAAACACCGCAGGGGCACCGUGAAACACCAGUUAGCACCUUUAUAAAACCCUGCUCCCGAGGUUAACUGCACUACAGCCCUGGCAGAUCACAGAACUAGGAAUCCAGCUCGGAGACGGCGCACGCGGGGAGAGUUUUUACGGGAACCUGCUUCUGCCGGGGGGUGCUCUUGCUUUCACACAGCUGCUCUUAUUCCUUUCAAUCUGCACCAGUCUGUCUGAAGAGGAAAUACAAAGGUCUGCGCUGAAAUUUGCUCUGUGAUCAAGCGAUCCAAGUGAUGUUUCGUCCUUACGCUGCGUCGGGUCUUUGGCACGGCGAGAUGCCUUUGCCUGUUUAGGAAAA